GGUUGUUGGAGGGGGAGACCGACUGUCUCCCCUUUGGUUACAUUGCUCGGUUGCUGGAGGGGGAGACCGACUGUCUCUCCUUUGGCUAAACAGCCCUGUCGCUGGGGGGCAGGUCCGACUGCCCCUACCCCCUGUGCUGUAAGUGCAGAGACCACGGUCCCAUCUGCACGGUUGUGGGGCUUGCUGUCUCCCCCUGGUACAUUGAGCUGCCGCUGG